UUAGCAUGGAAUAAUAGAAUAGGACGUUGUGGUUCUAUUUUGUUGGUUUCUAGGACCACCGUAAUGAUUAAUAGGGAUAGUUGGGGGCAUUAGUAUUCAAUUGUCAGAGGUGAAAUUCUUGGAUUUAUUGAAGACUAACUUCUGCGAAAGCAUUUGCCAAGGAUGUUUUCAUUAAUCAAGAACGAAAGUUAGGGGAUCGAAGACGAUCAGAUACCGUCGUAGUCUUAACCAUAAACUAUGCCGACUAGGGAUCGGACGAUGUUAAUUUUUUAAUGACUCGUUCGGCGCCUUACG
rnacentral:rRNA from 1 species